AGCACGCAAGUUGAACAGAAAAAUAGAAAAUGCAAGGAGCAUCUGCAAGUAGUUCUUGGAUGUCCAUUCAGUGAGUGAAAAGGACACUGUCCAAUCCUCCACAAUGUCUAUUUUAAGUAAUGCAUAUCUAUACAUAUAUAGAAUUGCUUUGUGCUUGAUGUAGUCCAUCUACUCUUUUAUCUCAAUGGCUCCUCAAAUUCAUGAGUUGUUAACCCUUUUUGGGGCGUUUGUUACAAGUUAUCAAAAAUCAUGUCCGGGUCCAUGGAAGCUACCUAUCAUAGGAAACAUACCCCAUCUUGUUACAUCUAUGCCACAUCGAAAAUUAAGAGAUCUGGCCAUAAAAUAUGGACCCUUGAUGCAUCUGCAACUUGGGGAAAUCUUCACCAUUGUUGUUUCCUCAGCAGAGUGUGCUAGGGAGGUGAUGAAAACCCAUGAUAUUAUAUUUGCUUCAAGGCCUCAUCUUCUAGCCACAGAUAUUCUGUUAUAUGACUCCACAGACAUAGCCUUUUCAUCUUAUGGUGAUUAUUGGAGGCAUCUUAGGAAGAUCUGUGCCACCGAGCUUUUAAGCUUAAGACGGGUGAAAUCUCUUUGGUCAAUCAGAGAGAAAGAGAUCACUACUCUCAUCAAAUGGAUUGCUUCAAAAGAAGAAUCAGAGAUCAAUAUUACUGACGCAGUUCUUUCAAUCUUGUACACAAGCUUUUCAAAGGCUGCAUUUGGCAAGAAAUAUGAGGCCAAAGAAGAGUUCUUAUCAGCAAUAAAACAAAUUCCAAAGCUUGCAGGGGGUUUCUACCUAGCAGACUUGUUUCCUUCAGCUAAAUGGCUUCAAAACAUUUCUGGGAUGAGGCCUAAGCUUGAGAAGAUGCACCAAAGACUGGACAGGAUUUUGGAGAAUAUCGUUAAUGACCAUAGAGAUGCAAGGUCAAGAGCUAAAGAAGCCUUGGUUGAAGCAAAGGGAGAUCUAAUUGAUGUUCUCUAAAAUUUUGAGGAUAGUGGCACCGACUUGGAUUUUCAUUUAACUUCAAAUAAUAUCAAGGCGAUAAUCAUGGACAGAUAUCGAACGCGAUGCUAGGACAACCGGUUCGACAAUUGACUAACAGUAACAAAACCAGCAAAAUAAAAAGAAGAACACAGAGGAUUGGUAACCCAGUUCAGUAAAAAACUUUCACCUACGUCUGGAGGGUUCGCACCCAAAGAAAAGAAAUCCACUAUCUCAAGAUUCAGGAAUUACAGACACUCAUGAACACCACAGUUCAUAGUAGUGUGUUUCUACUUGGUAUCUCAACCUAUGUAUGAGAGCCUCUCUCUCUUUCUCUCAAUCACUGCCACAGUGAUUGGUAACAAACAAUCAACAAUCAGAGUUUGUAGAAUCAAAGAACACAAAACACAACUUUGUAAGAUCAAGGUUUGAUCAGUGGUUGCAUCUCUAUGUUUUGAUGAUUACAAUUAAGGUUUGUGAUGAUGAACAAUUGUGGUACCCUAACGUUUGUCCUUUUAAGAUGUGACAAACAGGUUCUGAAUCUGACCCAAGCCUAUUCGUUCAGAAGAAGAAGAACCAAGGGUUACUAAAAAGAGAGCUUCUUAACCUACCAUGUUCGUUCAGAACAGUGGCAAACACUUCAGAAGGUCUGAAGAUACAAGCUCUCAAGAAGUUCUGAAGAACCAGAGUCAGAAGUUCUGAAGACCAGAUGUUCCAGUGGAACGGUCCAGAAGUAGAAGACUCAAGUUCUGAAGACCUGCAAGAAGUUGGUUCUGAAGACCCAAGCUAUUCUAGCUCUGACGAUCAGAGGUUCUGAGGAACUUGUUCAGAAGCAGAAGUUGCAAGGUCAGAAGAAUCCAAGCUUCAAUCUGACGAAGAUCAGAAGCUUCACCAACGUUCAUCUGAAGCUCCUUGAUCACAAGUCAAUUGGUGAAAGGACAGGUCGCUAUCAUAGUACAACAUCGUACAAGUCUCAGUCUGUCUGCCACCUACCUUGUACAGCCUAGCAGUCUGAUAUUACAGAAUUGCCACUCCAACGGAUAAAACCCUAGCAACGGCUACAUCACAAGUCUUGGAGUAUAUAAAGGCUGAAGAAAGAAGAAAGAAACUAAGAAACUUUGCUGAAAUCAUUCAACAUAUACGAACCAAUCUCUUAGCAUUAUUUCUUCACUGUUCUUAAACAUCUGAGUUUACUAUUAGCUUUUCAGAAGCACUUGUUGUAAACCCGAAACCUUUUACAUCACAUUGUAAAGUUCCUUAAGAGACCAAGGUUGGUCGGAUCUUGAGAGGACUGAAUCAAGGCAGAUUCAGUGUUUAGCUAGUCUUAAGAGGAUCGGUAGAUCAGCUUCUUAAGAGGAUACUAGUGAGAAAAUCAGUGUAUUGUUAGUCACUUAGCAGGUUGCAAAGUGUAGUUGUAACACUCAUUGAUUUUAGUGAAUUGCCUUCAUCAGAAGAAGGAAGAAAUCACCUUAACAGGUGGACUGGAUUAGCUUGAGCUUUUAUCUCAAGUGAACUAGGAUAAAA